GACGAACGCUGGCGGCGUGCUUAACACAUGCAAGUCGAACGGAAAGGCCCUGCUUUUGUGGGGUGCUCGAGUGGCGAACGGGUGAGUAACACGAGAGUAACCUGCCCUUGACUUUGGGAUAACUUCAGGAAACUGGGGCUAAUACCGGAUAGGAGCUCCUGCUGCAUGGUGGGGGUUGGAAAGUUUCGGCGGUUGGGGAUGGACUCGCGGCUUAUCAGCUUGUUGGUGGGGUAGUGGCUUACCAAGGCUUUGACGGGUAGCCGGCCUGAGAGGGUGACCGGCCACAUUGGGACUGAGAUACGGCCCAGACUCUUACGGGAGGCAGCAGUGGGGAAUAUUGCACAAUGGGCGGAAGCCUGAUGCAGCAACGCCGCGUGCGGGAUGACGGCCUUCGGGUUGUAAACCGCUUUCGCCUGUGACGAAGCGUGAGUGACGGUAAUGGGUAAAGAAGCACCGGCUAACUACGUG
rnacentral:rRNA from 1 species